UAGCUCAGGGGAAGAGCACUUGCCUAGCAUGCAUGAAGCCCUAGGUUCGAUUCCCAG
rnacentral:tRNA from 1 species